GUCCACGCCCUAAACGAUGUCAACUGGCUGUUGGGAGAGAAAUCUUUCAGUAGCGAAGCUAACGCGUGAAGUUGACCGCCUGGGGAGUACGGCCGCAAGGUUGAAACUCAAAGGAAUUGACGGGGCCCGCACAAGCGGUGGAUGAUGUGGAUUAAUUCGAUGCAACGCGAAGAACCUUACCUACCCUUGACAUGCCAGGAAUCCCGGAGAGAUCUGGGGGUGCCCGAAAGGGACCUGGACACAGGUGCUGCAUGGCUGUCGU
rnacentral:rRNA from 1 species